UGCAGUAUUGACGCUGGAUGUAACAGGUGGUGAUGGCGCAGUUGUAGUUGUAGUUUCUAAACACAAAUAUUAUUAAAAUAUAAAUAUUGUAUAAGGUAUAUAAUAAAAUAUUAAUAUUAUAAAAUAGGAAAUGGAAAAUUAUAGAAUAAGAAUAAGGUCGACUGGAACAGGUACUCGUGAUAUACGAAUGCUCGGACAACUCGAUGUUUUCGAACAGUUCGACAGAUCAUGAUGGUGGAGUAAUUUACAUAGAAGAUAAAACGUAAGUCUCUGGCAAAUAAAGAAUCAUAUGGACUUGUCGGGCGAUUAGACAUUAAACUACAUAGAGACAGUGUGAGGCAGACUCGCGAGGCUGCUAAGGAUUGUCGGUUUUUUGACGAGAUCAAAGGUGCCUCGCAGUUUUAACUAUGUAAUCUACAUGCAGACAGUGCGAGGAACGCACAUAGCUUUUAUACGUAGCUUUAUAGCGUCACUUUGAAUUCAUCGAGCAAAGAUUCGUAGGUGUCAGAUAUCAAUGCAGAUGUUAAUUUCAUCCCCAUAAAUAUCGCAUAGAAAGAUUCACUUCUACAUUAAUUACGAUACAUGUAUGUACGUAUAUUAAAAACAAGCGACAGAAAUCAAUUAAAAAUCAAUUUUUCUAUAUUUCACUAUUAACGUGUUAUUGCAAAUGUUAACGAACGAUUGAAAAUGGUAGAAUUAAGGGAACGAAUAGUAUAACGAAUUACAUUAAACGAAUAAACUUUCGCGUUCUUCUCUGUA